rnacentral:rRNA from 1 species
UGGGGAAUACUGCACAAUGGGCGCAAGCCUGAUGCAGCCAUGCCGCGUGUGUGAAGAAGGCCUUCGGGUUGUAAAGCACUUUCAGCGAGGAGGAAGGUGGUGAGCUUAAUACGCUCAUCAAUUGACGUUACUCGCAGAAGAAGCACCGGCUAACUCCGUGCCAGCAGCCGCGGUAAUACGGAGGGUGCAAGCGUUAAUCGGAAUUACUGGGCGUAAAGCGCACGCAGGCGGUUUGUUAAGUCAGAUGUGAAAUCCCCGGGCUCAACCUGGGAACUGCAUUUGAAACUGGCAAGCUAGAGUCUCGUAGAGGGGGGUAGAAUUCCAGGUGUAGCGGUGAAAUGCGUAGAGAUCUGGAGGAAUACCGGUGGCGAAGGCGGCCCCCUGGACGAAGACUGACGCUCAGGUGCGAAAGCGUGGGGCAGCAAACAGGAUUAGAUACCCUGGUAGUCCAGCGCUGUAAACGAUGUCGAUUUGGAGGUUGUGCCCUUGAGGCGUGGCUUCCGGAGCUAACGCGUUAAAUCGACCGCCUGGGGAGUACGGCCGCAAGGUUAAAACUUAAAUGAAUUGAC